UACCCAGCCGGCACAUGACCGACCUUCAACGUUGAAAUGUGGUUGAAGCAACAUCAGUUGAUGUUUCAACAGUGAUAAAUUAUUAAAUGUAAAAUGGUUGAAAUAGGUUUAGAAAAUCACCUAUAAAUCAAUGCUGAAAUAAGCUCGUAAACUAUACCUUAAAAAAACAAGUGUUUAACCAUAUAUAAUAAUAAUAAUAAUAAUAAUAAUAAUGUAUAAAAUGUGCCCUAUUAUGCCUAUUUUCCACUUCUGUGUCAGUUUGUUGGUACGUCAAUAUUUCAGAAAAUAGAAAUUAUAUGCUCAUUUUCAUUUUUUUGCGGUCUGAAGAGAUAUCGCGAGAUUACACGAGACUAUAAAAUAGCAAACACUGGAGCGGAUCUGAGUUACCAUGGAAACGGGGAAACGUCAAGCAUCAAGACUCCGUCUCGCUGUUGUUUUCACUGAUUUUAGGGGUGACAGAAAACCCCCUCUACAACAAAGAGGAAGCUGACAGAGGAGGAGGAAACAGAUCCUUCCAUGCUGAUGGCCUCCUGCACCCCAGAGCUGAGCGACCUCCUGUCAAAGGCCACGAAACAGAUGACUAUAUUAUGUUUGCUAGUGAGACAGACGCCAUACUGUUCCACUCAAAGAUCCGCCAUCAGUUGUUUACCAGUAUGGAGACCAGCUAAGACCAACUGGGAGGUUUUGUUCAUGCUUUUUAUUGUGCAUUGUCAUGAUUUCUGCUUUGAUUUGUUAUGAAUCUAGGUCUCUUUUUUUAUGUUGCAUCAUGAUAAAUAAAAUGGAUGUAAUUUAUUGUGACAGUGAAUAAAAAAUAUAUUGAUAUA